rnacentral:rRNA from 1 species
AGUGAACGCUGGCGGUAGGCCUAACACAUGCAAGUCGAACGGCAGCACAGUAAGAGCUUGCUCUUACGGGUGGCGAGUGACGGACGGGUGAGGAAUACAUCGGAAUCUACUUUUUCGUGGGGGAUAACGUAGGGAAACUUACGCUAAUACCGCAUACGACCUACGGGUGAAAGCAGGGGAUCUUCGGACCUUGCGCGAUUGAAUGAGCCGAUGUCGGAUUAGCUAGUUGGCGGGGUAAAGGCCCACCAAGGCGACGAUCCGUAGCUGGUCUGAGAGGAUGAUCAGCCACACUGGAACUGAGACACUGUCCAGACUCCUACGGGAGGCAGCAGUGGGGAAUAUUGGACAAUGGGCGCAAGCCUGAUCCAGCCAUACCGCGUGGGUGAAGAAGGCCUUCGGGUUGUAAAGCCCUUUUGUUGGGAAAGAAAAGCAGCAGGUUAAUACCCCGCUGUUCUGACGGUACCCAAAGAAUAAGCACCGGCUAACUUCGUG